CGCCUCCACCUCCACCUCCGCCUCCGUCACAAUUCCCUACGGGAUUUCAGACACCCCCCGCUAUAGUUGGAGCACCAGGAGACGGGUCUGGUCAAGACGACGCAUCGCAUUCGUGGGUGAAUAACCUUUUCAACACGCAUAGUCCAGCAGGAGGAGGUGGCUACUCGAACCAUCCAGGCGAUGGAUAUGAUUGAUGUGUCGUGAUGUUAAUUUGUGAAACACUUUGCAACACUUGUUUGCAACCGUGAUCACAACACUUGUUUAUGAGACACAAUGUCAGUUUGCAACAACCGUCGGACCUAUAUGUUGAUGUUAAAUUUGUGAAUGUUAAUAUUUAUGUGAGAAUAUUUGAGAUUGUAAUGUGAAUACUUAUGUGAAUGUGUAUAUUUGUGAUUGUGAAUGUAUAUAUGUGCAUGGAA